ACAGGGCCACCAACUGGUGUGUGUGUACCCCAGACCAGCCACCUAUCAGGAAAGCACCUAAAUCAGCCACUUGCAUAUUUGUUGUUGUUUAGUCGUGUCUGACUCUUCGUGACUCCAUGGACCAGAGCACGCCAGGCGCUCCUGUCUUCCACUGCCUCCCGCAGUUUGGUCAAACUCAUGUUGGUAGCUUCGAGAACACUGUCCAACCAUCUCGUCCUCUGUUGUCCCCUUCUCCUAGUGCCCUCAAGCUUUCCCAACAUCAGGGUCUUUUCCAGCGAGUCUUCUCUUCUCAUGAGGUGGCCAAAGUAUUGAGCCUCAGCUUCAGGAUCUGUCCUUCCGGUGAGCACUCAGGGCUGAUUUCCUUCAGAAUGGAUAGGUUUCAUCUUCUUGCAGUCCAUGGGACUCUCAAGAGUCUCCUCCAGCACCAUAAUUCAAAAGCAUCAAUUCUUCGGCGAUCAGCCUCCUUUAUGGUCCAGCUCUCACUUCCAUACAUCACUAAUGGGAAAACCAUAGCUUUUACUAUACGGACCUUUGUUGGCAAGGUGAUGUCUCUGCUUUUUAAGAUGCUGUCUAGGUUAGUCAUCGCUUUUCUCCCAAGAAGCAGGCGUCCUUUAAUUUUGUGACUGCUGUCACCAUCUGCAGUGAUCAUGGAGCCCAAGAAAGUAAAAUCUCUCACUGUCUCCUUACUCCAUACUUACUCACUCACAAAGAGAAGCUUUUUGCCAGACCUGUGUAUUUGUGAUCGCAAAAUGAAGCUGUAAUAAAAGAACUAUAAAUCUAUCAACUGCUUGUUAAUUCUUAUCUGUGAAGUUACCAAAGGCAGGGGAGGACCCUCCGAGCUUGACAGCAAUCCUGGCACCCAGUGAAAUGUGGACUUGUUUAAGCAACUUAUAAUGCAUUUUUGUAUGUUAUUUUCACCAAUCUAUGCAUUUUUAUGCACACUUUGCCCUAGUGUAUGCUUUUCGAUACACAUUCCUUGGCUGGAGAACUGCACUGCAAAAUUCACAAGUCCAAAUAUUGAAGGGUGUUUCAGAAUGUGUGUUGUUUCAGACAAUUAGGAAUGCUGAAAGUGUAGGAUGAAGUUUGAUCUUCUCAUUGAGAUUUUGCCGAGGAAACUACUCAAAGCCAAAAAAAACCCUGACUGUUUUCAGAAGAAUCUUGCAGUGAUUUAUUAUGCCCUAGUUUUGCCCAUAAGCUGGCUCCCUUCCAAGGCCACAUCUUCUUAACACUCUGCACACACAGUGAGAAAUGUCGCCAUCUUGACUUUCCAACUGCUGAGCCAAGAGAGGAGCGUGCCCAGCUUGAACCUAGGAUGGCUAUACAUAAUUUGACACCUGUGAUAAUUUGAGCAAGUUCAAAGGCUUUCAGAAAGCACUUUCCUGUCACCUUGUUAAUCAUCCAUUCCAUAUGGAUGAAAAUCCAACUGUUCGGAAUGUGUGACAGCUGUGAAGAGCCUUAGCAAAGCUUUCUUGACUUGAAGCAUUUUGUUUUUGCAUCUAGUUUUCAUACUGCAAAAGUGGAGAAUGCAGAAAUGUUUAACUUUUCAAGAACUUGUAUUGAGCUUUUGAUCAAUAGUUGGGUGAAUCAUUUAGGAAUAAUCAAUCUUCUCCCCUGCCGGGAGUUACCGUGGAAAUAUCUCCUAAUUUUCUGUCUGUCUUUUGUCUUGGCCUGAGUCCAUUAUAAGCAAAUCUUGAUCUCUAUCUGAGCUUCCAUAUUUGCAUUUUGUUGGCUCCAGAAAGAAAAACAAAAAUGUAUUGCAAUCUUUCUGGCUAAGAUUAGGCCGAGGGUAACAGAUGUUCCUUGACCAAUUACUCUUAGACUGUGUUGGAUAAUUUCCACCUUUGGGCUCAGGUGAAGAAAGAUGGAGUUGAAUGUGGGGAAAACAUACUUUUUGCAUAAUAAACUAAACACCUCCAUAGUUUUAGUUGCAUGAGUACUAUUGACUGGCUUGUCUAGCUAAGCGUUUAAUACUGCAUGAAAUGUUUACUCAGAACUGCACCAAUAAUUCUGACUGCAAAAAAUACCUUGGCUGCAAAUCUACACUGAGAUAGCGUUUGAUCCCACUGGUUUCAGCAAUCGUAAGUAAGCCUAAGUCUGUAUUAGACAAUGGUUCUUAAGCCUUUGCCAUCUUUUAGGUAUCCUAAACAAAAACCAAACAUUAAUGGAAAAAACCCCAAACCUAAAAAUGUAAGCUGGCUGUAUAUUAUCAUAGACCAUGUGCUCCAUUUAUCCCUUCUAUAAAAAUUACAGGGGUCAGCAAUCUUUUUCAGCCGUGGGCCGGUCCACCGUCCCUCAGACCAUGUGGUGGGCCAGACUAUAUUUUG